rnacentral:rRNA from 1 species
UACGUAGGGUGCAAGCGUUAAUCGGAAUUACUGGGCGUAAAGCGUGCGCAGGCGGUUAUGCAAGACAGAUGUGAAAUCCCCGGGCUUAACCUGGGAACCGCAUUUGUGACUGCAUAGCUGGAGUACGGCAGAGGGGGAUGGAAUUCCGCAUGUAGCAGUGAAAUGCGUAGAUAUGCGGAGGAACACCGAUGGCGAAGGCAAUCCCCUGGACCUGUACUGACGCUCAUGCACGAAAGCGUGGGGAGCAAACAGG